rnacentral:rRNA from 1 species
AGUCUGGUGCCAGCAGCCGCGGUAAUUCCAGCUCAUUUAGUGUAUAUUAAAGUUGUUGCAGUUAAAAAGCUCGUAGUCGAUCAUCUAGUGCUGGCUGCUUCGGCUUCGGCUGCGGUACGCGAGUGCUAUCUGCUCGAGAACUUUAUCGGUCUUAACUGGUCGAUGAUGCUGAUCGGGCACUUUCCUGAGAAAAAAUUAGAGUGUUCAAAGCAGGCUAAUGCUUUGAAUAUUACAGCUUGGAAUAAUAGAAUAAGACUGAAGUCUCUUUUGUUGGUUAUGAACUUUAGUAAUGGUUAAUAGGAACAGUCGGGGGUAUUAGUAUUUAAUUGUCAGAGGUGAAAUUCUAUGAUUUAUUAAAGACUAACUUAUGCGAAAGCAUUUGCCAAGGAUGUUUUCAAUUGAUCAAGAACGAAAGUUAGGGGAUCAAAGACGAUCAGAUACCGUCCUAGUCUUAACUAUAAACGAUUCCGACUAUGGAUCAGAAGGGUUUUCCAAUCCCUUUUGGCACAUUAUGAGAAAUCAAAGUCUUUGGGUUCUGGGGGAAGUAUGGACACAAGUCUGAAACUUAAAGGAAUUGACGGAAGGGCACACCAGGUGUGGAGCCUGCGGCUUAAUUUGACCCAACACGGGGAAACUUACUAGGGCAAGACUAAGGUUGGAUUGACAGAUUGAGAGCUCUUUCUUGAUUCUUAGGGUGGUGGUGCAUGGCCGUUCUUAGUUGGUGGAGUGAUUUGUCUGGUUAAUUCCGUUAACGAACGAGACCUCAACCUGCUAAACUAGGAGCCGGAUUAAACAUUCGGUUUCCUUCUUAGAGGGACAAAGUGUUCAAGCACUGGGAAGUGAGGCAAUAACAGGUCUGUGAUGCCCCUAGACGUCCUAGGCCGCACGCGCGCUACAAUGACACGUUCAACGAGUUUCUUCCUGGUCCUGACGGAUUCGGGUAAUCUUCAUAGUACGUGUCGUGCUUUGGGAUAGUCCUUUGCAAUUAUAGGACUUAAACUAGGAAUACCUAGUAUAGGUAAGUCAUCAGCUUGCCUAGAUUAUGUCCCUGCCCUUUGUACACACCGCCCGUCGCUCCUACCGAUUUUGAGUGAUUAGGUGAACCUUCUGGAUCAGAGUAGUCUUCAAGGCUGUUCUGAGAAGUUAAGUAAAUCACUAUCACUUAGAGGAAGGAGAAGUCGUAACAAGGUUUCCGUAGGUGAACCUGCGGAAG